UGGCAACCUUGUACAAGAAAUUUUGUGUAAUAUAAACUUUCUUUUGCCACACAUACUUCUUUCCUUGCUUACUACUUUUGCGCUUCCGUAUUACUAUCGCGCAUUUUGUAUUAAAGCUGAACUAGCCAAGCGUUCAUAGCUUAAGACUUGAACGUAUGCUAGUGCCACACAGGGUGUUGACUUGUAGGGAAACAAGCAGUCCGUGACACUUGGACUUCAUGGGGUUCUUCUUGUUCUGGUGCAGGUUCUUCCGGGUGAUUUUGUAAACCAACAGGGAACUCCAAAGUUAGGCUGUCAAGCAGAAAUUCAUCAGUAAAGCCAUUUGAUCCUACUUGUGGUACUUGAUUAUCAUCUUGUUGGGGUGCUGCAGAAUGAUUAGGUUGAUUUACUGGACCAAUAACAUCCGCCAAAGAAGGGUUCUCAAACAAAAUGUUGUCAGCAAAGCCAUUCCAAUCAGCUUCAAAUUCAAUUUUUUCAUCUUGUUGGGGUGCAGAUUCAUUUGCAGGUUGAUGUUGUAGACUAGGAGGAACCUCUGACGUUGGGCUAUCAAGCAGAGAGUCAUCAACAAAGCAAUCCGUCCCUACUUCAUCAGGUUGUUCAUUAUCUUCUUGUUGGGGUGGUGCAGGGUUGAUGAGGCUGAUUUGGUGAAUCAAGAAUAUCUUCUAUACUUGGGUUCUCAAAUAGAAUGUUGUUAACAAAGCCCUCCCGAUGAUCUUCUUGAUUCUCCAUUUCUAUUUUGAUGUAGUACCAAUGAUCUUUAGGAGUUACAAGAACGUUACACUUGUGAAAAUGUUGUUCAAAUCUUUAGGUGUUAACAGACUUCUUGAUGGGAUGUGUUGGAGUUUUUAGGUGCUAAUGCAUUUCUUGAUAUUGCAAUGUCAAGAAUAAGAAAUCUGAAGUGAAAGAGAUAUAUAUACAUAUUUACAUAUUUACAUAUAUAUAUAUAUGUAUAUAUAUGUAACUUGAUUAUGUACAGUACAAUUCGGGGAGGAUGGAAGGGGACUAAAAUGAAGAAAAAAUCAGGACGACUUCUAAUUGUGCA
rnacentral:lncRNA from 1 species